UACGAAGGGGGGCUAGCGUUGCUCGGAAUCACUGGGCGUAAAGCGCACGUAGGCGGAUUGUUAAGUCAGGGGUGAAAUCCUGGAGCUCAACUCCAGAACUGCCUUUGAUACUGGCGAUCUCGAGUCCGGGAGAGGUGAGUGGAACUGCGAGUGUAGAGGUGAAAUUCGUAGAUAUUCGCAAGAACACCCGUGGCGAAGGCGG
rnacentral:rRNA from 1 species